AAAAAUAACUGACUUCCUGUUGGGAUUCGAAUUUUGUACCAAGAGACUUUUUUGUAGGUAUUGGUGUGUUACAUGUGUGUACCGAUUUUUGUACAUGUACGUGAAACGUAGCUCGAGGCGCACUCCGUUGAAAUUGUAUAGGUGGCACUAUUGAGGCAUUUUGCCACACCCGAUGGAAUAUUGGCCAUCAGAUGUGUUCAGGCCAGGACUCUUAUCGAACAUGUGAAGUUUGGGCAAGAUCGGACAUCUUAUGCCUGAGUUACAACAACUUCAAUUCCCAUGGCGAGACAACGAACUUUGUGACGGCGCCAUGGCCACACCCUUUAAUGAAACCUCAAGAUGUUCACAAUUUAACAUCGCAAAGGCCUUUAGAUUAGACUGACCCAAAAAAAUAUAAAAUGUCAUAAAAUUUCUAGGAGUAGUUUGUUACGGCGUAAAACAUGUCACUUCCUGUUGCCAGCAGGUGGCGCUAUAGCGAUAUCUGAAUAUUGGCAUGUAGAUAUAUUCAGGUCAGGAGUCUUCUCAAACAUGUGAAGUUUGGGGCAGAUUGGACAUUGUAUGUCUGAGUUAUAGCAACUUCCUUUCUCAUGGCGAAACAUCGAAAUUUGUAAGGCCGCCACAGACACGCCCUUAAACGAAACCUCAAGAUCUUCGCAAUUUAACAUCGCAAAGGCCUUUAGAUUACACUGACAAAGUUUGGUGUUGAUCUGAAUAAAUCUCUAGGAGGAGUUCGUUAAAGUACAACCCCUGAAAAUGGCAAAAAAACGACACAAAUUUUUGCAGAGAAAA
ensembl:lncRNA